rnacentral:rRNA from 1 species
CAAAAGCUUGAUCCUGGCUUUAACAUCAGCUAAGACUAAAUUUAUACAUGCAAGCCUCCGCAACCCAGUGCGAAUGCCCUCUAUCCUCUUAUUGAAGCCGAGGGGCAGGUAUCAGGCACUAAGCUGAUUAAAAACUCUUAUGCCCAAGACACCUUGCUAAGGCCACACCCCCACGGGUUCUCAGCAGUAAUUAACCUUAAACUAUAAGUGCAAGCUUGAUUUAGUUAAUGUCUUCGAGAGUUGGUAAAACUCGUGCCAGCCACCGCGGUUAGACGAGCAGCUCAAGUUGAUGAAAUGCGGCGUAAGGCGUGGUUAGGAGAAAACUACAAGUAAAGUCAAACGCUUUCAAGGCCGUUAAAGGCGCCCGAAAAGUUGAAGCCCGAUUACAAAAGUAACUUUAUUACCCCCGACCCCACGAAAGCUGGUGAAACAAACUGGGAUUAGAUACCCCACUAUGCCCAGCCGUAAACCAAGAUACCGCUCCCACCAAGGUAUCCGCCGGGUUAUUACGAACAUUAGUCUAAAAGCCAAAGGAAUUGGCGGUGCUUUAUAUCCCUCUAGAGGAGCCUGUCCUGUAAUCGACACUACCCGUUAAACCUCACCCCCUCUUGCCUUUAACCGCUUAUAUACCACCGUCGUAAGCCCACCCUUUGAGGGACAUGAAGUAGGCUCAAUUGGCAUAGCCCAGUAAGUCAGGUCAAGGUGUAGCAUAUGAGGGGGGAACAGAUGGGCUACAUUUACUGUAAAAGUACACACGGAGGGUGUAUUGAAAUAUACACACUGAAGGAGGAUUUAGAAGUAAGCCGGGAAUAGAGAGCCUAGCUGAAUAUGGCCCUAAAGCACGCACACACCGCCCGUCACUCUCCCCAGGUCUCUCCCCUGAGACCUGCCCUUUCGGGGAGAGAAGUCGUAACAUGGUAAGUGCACCGGAAGGUGCACUUGGCUUA